rnacentral:rRNA from 1 species
UGGGGAAUAUUGCACAAUGGGCGCAAGCCUGAUGCAGCCAUGCCGCGUGUGUGAAGAAGGCCUUCGGGUUGUAAAGCACUUCCAGCGGGGAGGAAGGCGUUAAGGUUAAUAACCUUGGCGAUUGACGUUACCCGCAGAAGAAGCACCGGCUAACUCCGUGCCAGCAGCCGCGGUAAUACGGAGGGUGCAAGCGUUAAUCGGAAUUACUGGGCGUAAAGCGCACGCAGGCGGUCUGUCAAGUCGGAUGUGAAAUCCCCGGGCUCAACCUGGGAACUGCAUUCGAAACUGGCAGGCUAGAGUCUUGUAGAGGGGGGUAGAAUUCCAGGUGUAGCGAUGAAAUGCGUAGAGAUCUGGAGGAAUACCGGUGGCGAAGGCGGCCCCCUGGACAAAGACUGACGCUCAGGUGCGAAAGCGUGGGGAGCAAACAGG